UGCGUAGGUGGCGCCGUAAGUCAGGUGUGAAAUUUCGGAGCUUAACUCCGAAACUGCAUUUGAUACUGCGGUGCUUGAGGACUGGAGAGGAGACUGGAAUUCACGGUGUAGCAGUGAAAUGCGUAGAUAUCGUGAGGAAGACCAGUGGCGAAGGCGGGUCUCUGGACAGUUCCUGACACUGAGGCACAAGGGCCAGGGGAGGCAAACG
rnacentral:rRNA from 1 species